rnacentral:rRNA from 1 species
GACGAAGGGGCUAGCGUUGUUCGGAAUUACUGGGCGUAAAGCGCGUGUAGGCGGUUGCCCAAGUCGGGUGUGAAGCCUUGAGCUCAACUCAAGAAAUGCACUCGGUACUGGGUGACUAGAGGACCGGAGAGGAUAGUGGAAUUCCAGUGUAGUGGUGAAAUACGUAGAUAUUCGCAAGAACACCAGUGGCGAAGGCGGCUCACUGGCCCGGUACUGACGGCUGAGGUGCGAAAGCGUGGGGAGCAAACAGG